UGUGAAGAAGGCAGCCACUCUUACCACCUGGGGCUGAUGUGAUGGUCUCUUGGCCAAUGAGAUGGGACCAGCACUCUUCUCUGAUGUCUCAUUGGUAGCCUUCAUUAGAGGAGCUUCCUGGGCUGGAUGUGGCCCCACCCUCUCCGUCACUCACCUAUGGGACAAAGAAAAAGAAAAGUAGCAAGGCAAGAAAGUUCCUUUUAAGCAAGUGAUGCAGGUGCUUGUUGACGUCAUUUCUGCUCGUAUUCCAUCAGUGAGAACUUAUUCCCAUGGCCACACCUCACUGCAGGAGAGACUGGGAAAUACAGCCUCAAGCUGGCAAAUCUGUGCCCAGUGAGACUCCAUUAUUAUGGAGACAGUGGAGAACAGGUAUUGGGGGACAAUAAAUGGUCUUGUGUUGCUGGAAA